GCCCGGAUGGUCUCAUCGGUUAAGGCAUCGCCUCGGACAGGCAAAGGUUGCAGGUUCAAUCCCCGCUCCUGGCA
rnacentral:tRNA from 1 species